rnacentral:misc_RNA from 1 species
UUAAGUUCAGCGGGUAUCCCUACCUGAUCCGAGGUCAAACUUUGGGUUUGGUAGCUUAUGGGAGCCAGUCCGCCGGGCUCGAGUUCGCGUUUCUGCUGCGCUCGAAGCCAACGUACCGGCCGCCAAUGUAUUCAAGGCGAGUCCCUUGCGGGACAGGCGCCCAUCACAAGCUAAGCUUGAGGGUUUAAAUGACGCUCGAA